CUUCUUACAUGUAAAGUUGAUUGACCACUCAGCCGUCCUUAACGGCCCGCAUUGAUCGCGUCAGGGCCGUUCCCAUCUCAUCACUGAAGAGUCGUUGGAAGACCAUUGUCUACUCCACUGAAACUGAGCUGAAAAGAAGGAAAGAAGUUCCAGUUGCAAAAUCAACCUCCACCAACUUCUCACAUGUAAAGUUGAUUGACCACUCAGCCGUCCUUAACGGCCCGCAUUGAUCGCGUCAGGGCCGUUCCCAUCUCAUCACUGAAGAGUCGUUGGAAGACCAUUGUCUACUCCACUGAAACAGAGCUGAAAAGAAGGAAAGAAGUUCCAGUUGCAAAAUCAACCUCCACCAACUUCUCACAUAUAAAGUUGAUUGACCACUCAGCCGUCCUUAACGGC